GUCCUUCAAAAGAGUGGCCAAAAAUACCAGAGGGACAUUCAAACUCAUAAAUAAAAAUAAAAUGUCAACGCAAAACACAACAUAGGAAAAUAAAGUUGAAGCUACACGAACCCCAACAAAAAAUGGAGGUGAUACCAGAUGCUCCGGAAGGGUAAGCAGAUCCUCCUUGCCAUGUGGCAUUCGUCAUGUUGCUCAUGUUAGUACACACCAGGUAAUAAGUCUAAUUCAGUA
rnacentral:lncRNA from 1 species